rnacentral:rRNA from 1 species
AGAUUGAACGCUGGCGGCAGGCCUAACACAUGCAAGUCGAGCGGUAGAGAGGUGCUUGCAUCUCUUGAGAGCGGCGGACGGGUGAGUAAUGCCUAGGAAUCUGCCUAGUGGUGGGGGAUAACGUUCGGAAACGGACGCUAAUACCGCACACGUCCUACGGGAGAAAGCGGGGGACCUUCGGGCCUCGCGCCAUUAGAUGAGCCUAGGUCGGAUUAGCUAGUUGGUGAGGUAAUGGCUCACCAAGGCGACGAUCCGUAACUGGUCUGAGAGGAUGAUCAGUCACACUGGAACUGAGACACGGUCCAGACUCCUACGGGAGGCAGCAGUGGGGAAUAUUGGACAAU